rnacentral:lncRNA from 10 species
CAUGGGGGGUCCUCCCAGAGCCCUUGGCUCUCUUGGGCCAGUGGCCCCUCUUCUGUGGCAGCCUCCCUCUAGUUGCCCCUAUGAGAGGACCUCUUUUCCUGGCUGGACCCCUGCCUGCUCCCUCCAGUUCACCAGCCCCUAAUCAGGGUGCAAUGCCUCUCAAGGUCCUGGCCUUUUCUCCACUGUUGGGCCCUGCUCUUCCCAGCAUUGGACGGAACAUUGAUGGAUUACUCCCCUGACCCUACGGCCUUUCCCUCGCACUCUCUUUCUCUCUCCUGCUUCCACCUGCUCUGGCCCCAUGCAUCCUGCACCUGUCCUCAGGGCUGCCUCCUCCAACACCUCCUCCCUGCUUCUCUUGUCAAAGGACCUUCUGGCUUGGUCUGAACUGUCAGGUUCAAUUUCUCGAGCUAAACCUUUGAAUCUGGCUGACCCACUCUUGAAUGGUCUUUGUUCCCCAGCUAAGAACCAGCUGAUCUCAGCCCCGGCCAAAAUUUGCCUCAGGGGACUUGCCUGCCUCUAAAUCAUAGCUUCUCUACUCAGUCCCAGACCUCUCCUCCAACUCCAUCUCUCCUCCCUCCUUCUAACCCACAUUUAUGAGGUACCUGCUCUGUGAGUGCUGGGCGGAUACAGACAUGGUGGAACUGGGCCCUGCUCUCCAAAUGCUGACAGCCUCCCAGUAAGAUACUCGUGCAGAACAAGGCAGCAUAGAAUAUAUUCUCUCUCUCUCUUUUUCUUUGUUUUGCCAGAGGUAAAGGAAAGUUCUGUGAGAGAAGGGAAGGAGGGGUGAAGACCAGUUCUGUGUUCUCCAGCUUCCAGUCACAUCUCAUUGGCACUAGAGAUAUGGAGAUGGAAGAAGAGAGAGUCAGUGUCCUCAGGGUCGAGGUGAAGAAGACAGAUGAUGUGCCAGUGUGAUGUGAUCAAGGCCAGCCAAAAUGACAACAUGGGAUGAAGGUAUGAUGAUGGCCCCCAAGGAACCUGCCCAGGCUGCUGUGGGAGCACCACAUCUUAGAAGCAGACUCAAGUCCAUCUGGGAAGAAUUGCCUCGAGCCAUUUCAGGCAGAGGGUUGUCUAUACUUUCAAAGUUUUCGAAGGAGUGGAUGAACCCUGAAGUCCUCCUCCGGUCUCAGCUGAGCCCUCCUGAUAUUUAAAGACAGGACUGAGAGACUCCUCAGCCACGACCAUGUGUGUCAGUCAUCUUGAUUCUGGGACACUGCACAGCCACAGCAGCCGCUUGGCUGGAAGUGAAGGUCAAGGCCACCAGGCAUCCCGUGGCCGAACCUGGCUCCUUCUCUUGGCUCCCAGCAGUCUCAUUUCCCCCGCGGGAAGGGCUAUUUAUAGAACAGAAAGAGCAGUUGCAGCCACACUUUACCCCACGAGCUCAACCCUCUGUGCCUUAGAGGGAAAACUUCCCUGCGGGUGACACCUGUGCACUGGCAAGACUUACUUGGGAGACAGAUUUAUAAUAAACAGCCUUAUUUUAUAGAGCCCCAAAUAUUUGCACAAAAAUGAGCCCUUGGUAUAACUUGCUCCAUUUAUCUCCCUGCUGUCAUAGGGUAUAUCUCUCUGUUUUAUUACUUUAUUUGCCAGUUCCUCCAGCUUCUGCGCUCACCCCUCCUCUUCAUUUCCACUGCAGUUGUCACUCUGGUGGGGGGGCCCCGUCUCUCCUCCCUGUCACGCUUCUCCCUCUGCCUGCUAGUGUUCCAUUCCCUCCAGCUCACACAGGGGACUUGGCCUCCCUAGGGUCCCCCUCCAUUCCCCCUCAGGAUUCUAGGGAGCAGCAGGAAUGUGUCCCUGGGGAAGGACCCUCUUCCAAAUGCCCCCCAGUCACCCCCGAGGCCCGGCUUCCUUUUCAGCACUCUGGACAGCGCUCCUGGAGGCUGUUGCUUUAAGAGACUUGGCCUUCGCCUUGCAGUCCUGGGCUGACCGGUUCGGAGGCAUUUAGGAUGCCUCCCUGCCUCAUCUCUUAGCAUUUCUAACAGUAUAAGGUAAACCCUGAGUGGUUUCUUAACCUCCACGACUACCCAAGACGUGGGCUCAAGAACAGAGUGAGCAGCGUAUGAAAAAAAGAAGUGAUUUUAAUUUCAAAGUUCUGCUGACAUUCAUCAAGUGCUCUCAAGGUUUACAUAAACAGAACGCCCUGCUUGAAAUAUCACUUUGAAUUCCGUUUGUGCAAUGGCACCUCUAAUAGGCUGCUGUUUUGGUUUCUCUCAGCAAUGUGAGCCUUUGUGUUUUAAUAUUCAGAGGCACAAGGAACAGGAAAAUUAUAGCUGGGGAAGCCCAGGCUGGGUUCUUCAUCAUCCAAGUUAAAUUUGGCUGAAUGGAGGAAAAACAUCCUUUUAAAAGGGUGGUAAAUGGGAAUAAUAAUCUCUUACAUUUACAAAACACUGAGUAUUUUCAAAGCUCUCUCAUAUUCAUUAUCUUGUUAGGUUUUCACAGAAAUCCUGUAUAAAACAUUCCACAAAGAGCUAUUGUAGGUGCUGGAUGUGAAUGGCAGGCCUGAGGAGGCCUUCUCAGCAAAUGGAGAAACUGAGGCUGGGGGAGGGUGAGUGACUGGCUUAAGGUCACUCCAUGGUGGCCAAGCCAGGGAGAGCUGGCCAAAGCCAGGAGGUGGCCAUGCCAGCCAUCCGUCUUGCAGGCUGCCUCCUCCCUGGUACCUCCCCCAUGGCCCCAAAGUGACCUUUGUCUCUUCUCUCAUGGAACACACAUCCUCCAAACGAAGUGGCCACAAAACCCCCUCACCUGGACUUCUACCCUUGUAGGAGAAUUAAAGCCCAAAGCAAAAAGAGAGAAUCUGUACAAGUGGCAACAGUCUUCAUCUGCUGAGCAUUGGCUUUGCAUCAAGAAGCGUGCUGUACCCUUGACAUGCACUAUUUCAUUUGACCCUCUUAACAGCUCCGGGAAUGCUUUUAGUCCCAUUUUAUGGCCAAGAAAACUGAUGUUCAGAAGAUUCGAGCUAAUCAGUGUCACAGCUGCAGCCACACUCAAGCAGCCUGCUCCAAAGCCCGAGCUGCCUGUCACUAUGCCAUAUAUAUACUUCCUGUUUGUCUCCAAGGACAGUUUUUAGCAUCAGUUGGAGGGAGGGACUGGUGGGGUAUGAGGCCUGCAUUGCCCUUCUUGCCAGCGGCUAGGUUCUUUGCCUCCUGUAGGCUGCUGCUAGGAUGGGGACCACAGCACUGUGGGUUCUGACAUCGCAGGUCCUAAGGCUGCCCCUCUGCCUGGCACUGACCUUGCCCUUUAAGAUGGAAGUCACCAGACUGCAACUGAUGCAUGGCCAGGGCAUUCGUGCAACAUUCCAAUCACUUCAGCAAACACGUCGUAUGGAUGAAUACACACAUGAACGAAUGAGUGAAUGAAUGAAGGAAGGGAAGAGAAAAAGGGUCUCUUUGUAGGUGUGUGGAGUGGGGCUCUGCAGCAGGAAGAAGCAGCGGUUGGGAAAUGUAACACCUGCUGUGGCUCAAAGCCCUGGUUCUGAACAGGAGACCCCUGUACCCUCCCCCCAGCAGUAUCUGAUGGGCAAGGGCCCUGAUGGAGGUUAAGUGGAUGCAGAUGGAGCCAGGGCUUUCAG